CCGGUACUCGUUAAGGCUGAGCUGUGAUGGGGAGAAGACAUUGUGUCUUCGAGUCGUUGAUUUCACACUGCCGAGAAAAGCCUCUAGAUAGAAAAUAGGUGCCCGUACCGCAAACCGACACAGGUAGUCAAGAUGAGAAUUCUAAGGUGAGCGAGCGAACUCUCGUUAAGGAACUCGGCAAAAUGACCCCGUAACUUCGGGAGAAGGGGUGCUCUUUAGGGUUAACGCCCAGAAGAGCCGCAGUGAAUAGGCCCAAGCGACUGUUUAUCAAAAACACAGGUCUCUGCUAAACCGUAAGGUGAUGUAUAGGGGCUGACGCCUGCCCGGUGCUGGAAGGUUAAGAGGAGUGGUUAGCUUCUGCGAAGCUACGAAUCGAAGCCCCAGUAAACGGCGGCCGUAACUAUAACGGUCCUAAGGUAGCGAAAUUCCUUGUCGGGUAAGUUCCGACCCGCACGAAAGGCGUAACGAUUUGGGCACUGUCUCAACGAGAGACUCGGUGAAAUCAUAGUACCUGUGAAGAUGCAGGUUACCCGCGACAGGACGGAAAGACCCCGUGGAGCUUUACUGUAGCCUGAUAUUGAAAUUCGGCACAGCUUGUACAGGAUAGGUAGGAGCCUUUGAAACGUGAGCGCUAGCUUACGUGGAGGCGCUGGUGGGAUACUACCCUAGCUGUGUUGGCUUUCUAACCCGCACCACUUAUCGUGGUGGGAGACAGUGUCAGGCGGGCAGUUUGACUGGGGCGGUCGCCUCCUAAAAGGUAACGGAGGCGCUCAAAGGUUCCCUCAGAAUGGUUGGAAAUCAUUCAUAGAGUGUAAAGGCAUAAGGGAGCUUGACUGCGAGACCUACAAGUCGAGCAGGGUCGAAAGACGGACUUAGUGAUCCGGUGGUUCCGCAUGGAAGGGCCAUCGCUCAACGGAUAAAAGCUACCCCGGGGAUAACAGGCUUAUCUCCCCCAAGAGUUCACAUCGACGGGGAGGUUUGGCACCUCGAUGUCGGCUCAUCGCAUCCUGGGGCUGUAGUCGGUCCCAAGGGUUGGGCUGUUCGCCCAUUAAAGCGGUACGCGAGCUGGGUUCAGAACGUCGUGAGACAGUUCGGUCCCUAUCCGUCGUGGGCGUAGGAAAUUUGAGAGGAGCUGUCCUUAGUACGAGAGGACCGGGAUGGACAUACCUCUGGUGUACCAGUUGUCGUGCCAACGGCAUAGCUGGGUAGCUAUGUGUGGACGGGAUAAGUGCUGAAAGCAUCUAAGCAUGAAGCCCCCCUCAAGAUGAGAUUUCCCAACUUCGGUUAUAAGAUCCCUCAAAGAUGAUGAGGUUAAUAGGUUCGAGGUGGAAGCAUGGUGACAUGUGGAGCUGACGAAUACUAAUCGAUCGAAGACUUAAUCAA
rnacentral:rRNA from 1 species